UGGUAGAAGGAAUGACACGAUUAGGGUUACAGGAGGAACAAUGUAUGAGGAGGAUCAUCAGAUGUCAGAUGUAUGAAGAUCGCCACGUGAUGAAUCAGAAUACAUCAGAAUACGCCAUAUGCCAUCGUAAAUACUGUGCUGACUGCCACCGUCGUGAAAUAUGUGAAAGCCGACUACCUCUCUGCCAUGAAAACCACCGUGAACGCCUCUACCACUACAAGAAGUUAGGGCAAUUGGGGCGACCCCUUUAGCAGCGACAUUAGAAAAGUCGCCGCUAAAGGUCUAAAUCCGCGUCACAUCUUUAUAACCGAUCCCUAGCCGUUGAUGAAUAAAGGAUCCGACGGUGCAUGUUAUAUUAACAGUAAAGGGGGUAUAAUACCCUUGGCGGACUACUCCCAUCCUCAUUCCCUCCCAAUUACACAACUAGCCUCCCCCAAACCCUAGCAUGACACCGCUGCUCUGCCUCGUGCCCCACCUCCUCUAUCCGGCGUCCUUAGCCCCACGCACAAGGAGGAGUUGGACCAGCUUGAGAAAAUGGAAGCAGCCUCAGCUGUAAGGAAACAAAUCCUGAGUAACGUUGAAACAAGACCGGAUCCACUGCUUCCCACGUAAGAGAUUGAGGCUCAUGCCAGAUAUGUUAGUGAUCUCGCCUUUAGGAUAUAACAUUCAGGCAUGUGAUAGAAACAGACCUUUUUACCGUUGGCUUGGGUUUUCUCAUGCUUUCAAUGGGACUUACGCUAACAUUUGAGGAUUUCAGACGUCGUUUAAGGAAUCCAUGGACUGUUGGCGUAGGGUUUCUUGCUCAGUACUUGAUCAAACCCUUGUUGGGAUUCUUCAUUGCAAAGACUCUAAAUGUUGCAACUUAUAUAUCGAAAGGAAACGUAGCAAUUUCUGUUCUCAUGACAAC